rnacentral:tRNA from 1 species
GGCCGAUUGGUGUAAUGGCGAACACACUCCGGAAGAGAGUUCCCGGGUUCGAUUCCCGGGUCGGCUG